CUCGGUGCGGGCGGCGCGCCUCGGAGGGGAGCGGAGCGGGGCGGCAGGAAUCGGCGAGCGCUGCGUUAAUGGUGUCCCUGCGUGUGUGUGUGAGGUCGGCAGCCGAGCUGGGGCUGGAGGUGUUGCUGUGGGUCAGAAGGUUGGAGCGCUGUCCCGCGUUCUGCGAGGAAUGGGGCUGCUCGUUGCAAACAGCGCGGAGUCGUGCAAGUGGUAAUGGGGCGUUUUGGAGGCCGGCGUGUGUGGCAGCGCUGCGAUCCGCAGGGCAGGGGCUGGGCUUGGGCUGCGGUCGGGCCAGAGAGCUCC
ensembl:lncRNA